CCUACGGGCGGCAGCAGUGGGGAAUAUUGCACAAUGGGGGAAACCCUGAUGCAGCGACGCCGCGUGAGUGAAGAAGUAAUUCGGUAUGUAAAGCUCUAUCAGCAGGGAAGAAAAUGACGGUACCUGAGUAAGAAGCCCCGGCUAACUACGUGCCAGCAGCCGCGGUAAUACGUAGGGGGCAAGCGUUAUCCGGAUUUACUGGGUGUAAAGGGAGCGUAGACGGCAGUGCAAGUCUGGAGGGAAAGGCGGGGGCUCAACCCCCGGACUGCUCUGGAAACUGUACGGCUGGAGUGCAGGAGAGGUAAGUGGAAUUCGUAGUGUAGCGGUGAAAUGCGUAGAUAUUAGGAGGAACACCAGUGGCGAAGGCGGCUUACUGGACUGUAACUGACGUUGAGGCUCGAAAGCGUGGGGAGCAAACAGGAUUAGAUACCCCAGUAGUC
rnacentral:rRNA from 1 species